rnacentral:rRNA from 1 species
UACGUAGGGUGCGAGCGUUAAUCGGAAUUACUGGGCGUAAAGCGUGCGCAGGCGGUUUUGUAAGCCAGAUGUGAAAGCCCCGGGCUUAACCUGGGAAUGGCAUUUGGGACUGCAAGGCUUGAGUGCGGCAGAGGGGGGUGGAAUUCCGGCGUGUAGCAGUGAAAUGCGUAGAGAUGCGGAGGAACACCGAUGGCGAAGGCAGCCCCCUGGGCCAACACUGACGCUCAGGCACGAAAGCGUGGGGAGCAAACAGG